AUUAGAUACCCUAUUAUUUUUAUUGUAAAAAAUUUAAAGUUGGAGUAUUAACAGGUAUGGUCUUGAAACUUAAAGAAUUUGGCGGUAUUAUAGUCUAUUUAGAGGAAUUUGUUAUGUAAUCGAUAGUCCACGUUGAACCUUACUUAUAUUAUUUCUUGUAUAUCGCUGUUUAAGAUAAUAUUUAUAGAUGAUUUUCUUAAUAUAAAAGUGAUUAAAAUUUCAAGUCAAGGUGCAGUUAUGUGUAAGUUGAAUAAUGAAUUACAAUAAUAUUUAUUUAAAUGGAUUGUUAUUGAAAUAUAAUUUGAAGGUGGAUUUGAUUGUAAUUUUAUAUAUAUUAUUAAAAUGAUUUAUAGCUCUAUAAUAUGUACACAUCGCCCG
rnacentral:rRNA from 1 species